GGGCAAUUCUACACAGCAGCUUCAUGUAGCUAUUAAGCAGUAUGAGAUAUAAAACUUAAUGCUAUGGGACUUUAAUCCAACAACAGGAACGACAGUCUCCCUGUAACAUUAUCAGGAAUCUAUGUGUGAGGCACAGUUAAUCUACAAGGGUGAUUCAUCCUGGUAGUAUCAUCCCAUGAUUUGUCUGGAAAUCAAAUUUGAUAAGUGAAUACUGGGAGAAAAUAAGUCUAGAAUAGCUUUCCUGUAAUGAAGAUGGACUUGCCAGCCAGAUGUUUUUUAAAGUGACAUGCCUAUUUCAGAACAUUACAGCCUCAUGAACAUUCACUCACUAUACUGUAUACAACCUCUGCACAAAAUUCCAUAAAACAAAUAUCAGAACUGGC